rnacentral:rRNA from 1 species
UACAGAGGGUGCGAGCGUUGUUCGGAAUUACUGGGCGUAAAGGGCGCGUAGGCGGCACGGCAAGUCAGGAGUGAAAGCCCUGGGCUCAACCCGGGAACUGCUUUUGAAACUGCCGAGCUAGAGUGCGGAAGGGGCAACUGGAAUUCCCAGUGUAGCGGUGAAAUGCGUAGAUAUUGGGAAGAACACCUGAGGCGAAGGCGGGUUGCUGGGCCGACACUGACGCUGAGGCGCGAAAGCCAGGGGAGCGAACGGG